GAUGAACGCUGACAGAAUGCUUAACACAUGCAAGUCUACUUGAACUUCGGUUUGGGUGGCGGACGGGUGAGUAACGCGUAAAGAACUUGCCUCACAGUUAGGGACAACAUUUGGAGACGAAUGCUAAUACCUGAUAUUAUGAUUUUAGGGCAUCCUAGGAUUAUGAAAGCUAUAUGUGCUGUGAGAGAGCUUUGCGUCCCAUUAGCUAGUUGGAGAGGUAACGGCUCACCAAGGCGAUGAUGGGUAGCCGGCCUGAGAGGGUGAACGGCCACAAGGGGACUGAGACACGGCCCUUACUCCUACGGGAGGCGGCAGUGGGGAAUAUUGGACAAUGGACCAAAAGUCUGAUCCAGCAAUUCUGUGUGCACGAUGACGUUUUUCGGAAUGUAAAGUGCUUUCAGUUGGGAAGAAAAAAAUGGCGGUACCAACAGAAGAAGUGACGGCUAAAUACGUG
rnacentral:rRNA from 1 species